rnacentral:rRNA from 1 species
AUGGUGGUGAUCGAGCUCGAGCCGGAGCACGAGGGCGAGGAGACGAAACGCCCCUCCUCGCCGCCGGAGUUCGUGGAAGCCCCGGACCCGAGGAGCGCGGAGCAGGACGAGGAGGCCUUCGAGGACGCGCUCACCGACGAGCAGCUGCGGGAGAAAGCUAGAAGCCAAGCAAACGAUGCAAAAGCAGAAGGAAAUAAGCAUUUUGCAGCUGGACAGUACGAGGAUGCAUUAUCACAAUAUGAAAUUGCACUGGAAAUUGCUGCUGAACUGGAAUCUUCUGAAGAUAUAUCCUCUGCAUGCCAUUCAAAUCGUGCUGUAUGUUUCUUGAAAUUGGGGAAAUAUGAUGAAACAAUUAAGGAGUGCACCAAAGCGCUUGAGCUGAAUCCUUCAUAUUUGAAAGCUCUGCUUCGGAGGGGAGAAGCACAUGAAAAGCUUGAAAACUAUGAUGAUGCUAUUGCUGAUAUGAAAAAAAUCAUUGAGCUAGAUCCUUCAAAUCAACAGGCUAAGAAAUCAUUGUUCCGACUUGAGCCACUGGCAGCAGAGAAAAAGGAAAAGAUGAAGGAGGAAAUGCUUGCAAAGCUGAAAGAUCUGGGCAACUCGGUGCUGGGGCGGUUUGGGAUGAGCGUGGACAAUUUCAAAGCUGUCAAGGAUCCAAACACUGGCUCGUACUCCGUUUCUUUCCAGAAGUAG